rnacentral:rRNA from 1 species
AGUCGAGGGGCAGCAUGAUUGAAGCUUGCUUCAAUUGAUGGCGACCGGCGCACGGGUGAGUAACGCGUAUCCAACCUUCCGUACACUCAGGGAUAGCCUUUCGAAAGAAAGAUUAAUACCUGAUGGUAUGAUGAGAUUGCAUGAUAUCAUCAUUAAAGAUUCAUCGGUGUACGAUGGGGAUGCGUUCCAUUAGGUAGUAGGCGGGGUAACGGCCCACCUAGCCUACGAUGGAUAGGGGUUCUGAGAGGAAGGUCCCCCACAUUGGUACUGAGACACGGACCAAACUCCUACGGGAGGCAGCAGUGAGGAAUAUUGGUCAAUGGGCGUAAGCCUGAACCAGCCAAGUCGCGUGAGGGAUGAAGGUUCUAUGGAUCGUAAACCUCUUUUAUAAGGGAAUAAAGUGUGGGACGUGUCCUAUUUUGUAUGUACCUUAUGAAUAAGG